UUUACAAUUAAAGACUAAUCAAAUUGGAUCUGUAUUAUUUUUAAGACAUAAAAGUAAGCGAUUUCUUAAAACUCCAGUUUAAAGCUUGGCUCUGACUUAACAGUAUAAUAAAGACUAAAAAGUACACAUGGUUUUUAUCGAAAGAGGCGAGGUAAAAAGAGGUUAGGCAACUAUGUAAAAUAUAAGAUAACUUCUUUUUAUGAUAUUAUUUCUAUAUGAUGUCUCGAGAAGUCCCGCUAACACCAGUGUUUAAGGUUAAAAUAAAAGUGAAAACUUGUAUUAAUUUAGUCAUCAGAUCUGGUUAACUUGGUGCCAGCAUCCGCGGUUAUACCAAGAGAUCAAGUUAUACACAUUAAGGUAAAAAGGCGGUUAGAUAUUUACAGGCAAUUAACUUAUUAAUUUCUCAUCUAAAAGUAAAAUUUACACAUGGGUAAAUAAUUCAAUAUAAGUUAUAAUGUAUUGAAUCCGCGAUAGCCUUGAGGGAAACUGGGAUUAGAUACCCCAUUAUUCUUGGCCGUAAAUAGAUGAAAUCUACCAGAGUACUAUGAAUCAUUCCAAAAAUUUAAAACUCAAAGGGCUUGGCGGUGCUUUAGACCUUUCAGGGGAACCUGUCUCAUAAUCGACAAUCCACGUUAGACCUAACCUUUUUUUGCAAAACAGUUUGUAUACCGUCGUCGUCAGGUAACUUUUAAAAAACUAGAAGUUGGCAAUAGAAUCAUAGUAGAUUUAAACGUCAGAUCAAGGUGCAGCCCAUACAAAGGUGAGGAUGGGUUACAAUUAACACUCAUAAUUACGGAUAAAAUAAUGAAAUCCUUAUUUUAAUGAAGGCGGACUUGAAAGUAAAAAUAUUUACAUAAAUAAUUUGAAUAAGGCUCUGAAACAUGCACACAUCGCCCGUCGCUCUCGUUGAAAAAUGAGAUAAGUCGUAACAUAGUAGGGGUAAUGGAAAUUGUUCCUGGAUGAAAAUAU
rnacentral:ncRNA from 1 species